AGACAGCAGUCGCCACGGUAAUACGUAGGGUGCGAGCGUUAAUCGGAAUUACUGGGCGUAAAGCGUGCGCAGGCGGUUUUGUAAGACAGGCGUGAAAUCCCCGGGCUCAACCUGGGAAUGGCGCUUGUGACUGCAAAGCUAGAGUGCGGCAGAGGGGGAUGGAAUUCCGCGUGUAGCAGUGAAAUGCGUAGAUACGCGGAGGAACACCGAUGGCGAAGGCAAUCCCCUGGGCCUGCACUGACGCUCAUGCACGAAAGCGUGGGGAGCAAACAGGAUUAGAUACCCGCGUAGUCCCUGUCUCUUAUAC
rnacentral:rRNA from 1 species